GCCUUACGAAACGAAACCCGAUCAA
rnacentral:rasiRNA from 1 species